UUACAUGAUACACUACAAAUAUGAUUUCUCAUUACUAUCAAACAGAACUGUAUGGCCAGCUGUUUUAGCUUAGGAACACACAAAUUAGUGGGAUUUUUAAAAUAUUUUUUUUAUUUUUUCUCAGAUCCGAUACCUGACCCUCUGCUGUGGCCUGGACCUUUGCUCAGGAAUCAGACAAAUGAUGAGAAAAAUUGGAACAGAGGAGCUGUGGACAGGCUACUCCUUGAAGGGCAGGAAGGGGAAGAGGGCCUUUAAUGAGCUAUCAAUCUGUGAUGCUGUCACAAGAGUGUCCCUGAAAGCACACCCCAAGGCUACCUACCAAGAUGUAGAUGACAAAAUAGCAGAUGCUCUCUAACAUGCACCAGCUCGGCUCAAGAGUAAGAGAAAGGAGCGGGUCGAGGAAGCGACAGUGGAUGAGGAUGGAACAGCAGCACCUGAAUAAACAUAACAUAGUUAUUCACUUUUAGCUUUAAGCAGUUUUACAGUUCUUGACUGGAGUGCAGUGUUCAUG